rnacentral:rRNA from 1 species
AGCAGUGGGGAAUUUUGGACAAUGGGCGCAAGCCUGAUCCAGCAAUGCGCCGUGAGUGAAGAAAGCCUUCGGGUUGUAAAGCUCUUUUGUCACGGAAAAAACGGGGGAAGCUAAUAUCCUUUGUGAAAGACGGUACCUGAAGAAUAAACACCGGCUAACUAUAUGCCAGCAGCCGCGGUAAUACAUAUGGUGCGAGCGUUAAUCGGAAUUACUGGGCGUAAAGCGUGCGCACGCGGUUUUGUAAGUUUGUCGUGAAAUCCCCGGGCUCACCCUGGGAAUGGUGAUAAGAACAGCAAGGGUAUAAUCUGGGAGAGAGGGGUAGAAUUCUCCGUGUAUCAUGAAAUGCGUAUAGAUGUGGAGAAACACCGAUGGCGAAAGCGGCCCCCUGUGGCAAGAGUGACACUCAUG